GAUUUAUAGCUCAGUUGGUAGAGCACCCGCCUCUUAAGCGGUAGGUCCCGGGUUCAAGCCCCGGUGAAU
rnacentral:tRNA from 1 species